GACGAACGCUGGCGGCGUGCUUAACACAUGCAAGUCGAACGGAAAGGCCCUGCUUUUGUGGGGUGCUCGAGUGGCGAACGGGUGAGUAACACGUGAGUAACCUGCCCUUGACUUUGGGAUAACUUCAGGAAACUGGGGCUAAUACCGGAUAGGAGCUCCUGCUGCAUGGUGGGGGUUGGAAAGUUUCGGCGGUUGGGGAUGGACUCGCGGCUUAUCAGCUUGUUGGUGGGGUAGUGGCUUACCAAGGCUUUGACGGGUAGCCGGCCUGAGAGGGUGACCGGCCCCAUUGGGACUGGGAUACCGCCCCGACUCCUUCGGGAGGCAGCCGUGGGGAAUAUUGCCCAAUGGGCGGAAGCCUGAUGCAGCAACGCCGCGUGCGGGAUGACGGCCUUCGGGUUGUAAACCGCUUUCGCCUGUGACGAAGCGUGAGUGACGGUAAUGGGUAAAGAAGCACCGGCUAACUACGUG
rnacentral:rRNA from 1 species